rnacentral:rRNA from 1 species
GACGAACGCUGGCGGCGUGCCUAACACAUGCAAGUCGAACGGAGAAUUUCAAUAAGUUUACUUAGCGAAAUUUUUAGUGGCGGACGGGUGAGUAACGCGUGGGUAACCUACCCAUAAAGCCGGGACAACCCUUGGAAACGAGGGCUAAUACCGGAUAAUCUUGAGAAGUGGCAUCACUUUUUAAGGAAAGGUGGCCUCUGAAAAUGCUACCGAUUAUGGAUGGACCCGCGUCUGAUUAGCUAGUUGGUGGGGUAAAGGCCUACCAAGGCGACGAUCAGUAGCCGGCCUGAGAGGGUGAACGGCCACACUGGGACUGAGAGACGGCCCAGACUCCUACGGGAGGCAGCAGUGGGGAAUCUUCCGCAAUGGACGAAAGUCUGACGGAGCAACGCCGCGUGUAUGAUGAAGGUCUUCGGAUUGUAAAGUACUGUCUUUGGGGAAGGAUGGUCAUUUUGAGAAUAUUGAGAUGACAUGACGGUACCCAAGGAGGAAGCCCCGGCUAACUACGUGCCAGCCGCCGCAGUAA